rnacentral:rRNA from 1 species
CGUAUCAGGGGUAGGGGAGCGUCAUGUAUGAGGUGAAGUCGUAGCGGAAGCGGCGGUGGAUUGUACAUGAGAGAGAAUGCCGGAAUGAGAAGCGAGAAUUAUGUGAGAAUCAUAAUGGCCGAAAAUCUAAGGUUUCCUGAGGAAGGUUCGUCCGCUCAGGGUAAGCCGGGAGCUAAGGUGAGGCGGAAACGCGUAGCCGAUGCACAUACGGUAGAGAUUCCGUAGCCUCCGAAAAGUAAAGCACAGGGACGUUUCAGAAGUGUUACGCCGGGCGAUGGUAGCCCCGGUUGUAAAGGACACAAUUGAGUGGAAGGUAACAUGGGUGGAGACAAGAAAAGCUGUGUGUAUCUGGAAGGAGCCGUACCGCAAACCGACACAGGUAGAUAGGAAGAAGAUUCUAAGGCCAGCGGGAGAAGGGUUGUUAAGGAACUCGGCAAGUUGACCCCGUAACUUCGGGAGAAGGGGUGCUUACGAAGGUAAGCCGCAGAGAAUAGGCCCAAGCGACUGUUUAGCAAAAACACAGCUCUAUGCUAAAUCGAAAGAUGACGUAUAUGGGGUGACACCUGCCCAGUGCUGGAAGGUUAAGAGGAGAUGUGAGAGCAUUGAAUUGAAGCCCCAGUAAACGGCGGCCGUAACAAUAACGGUCCUAAGGUAGCGAAAUUCCUUGUCAGGUAAGUUCUGACCCGCACGAAUGGUGUAACGAUUUGGGCACUGUCUCAACAACCUACCCGGCGAAAUUGUAGUACCGGUGAAGAUGCCGGUUACCCGCGACUAGACGGAAAGACCCCAUGGAGCUUCACUGUAGCUUAAUAUUGAAUUUUGGUAUUUCAUGUACAGGAUAGGUGGGAGACUGGGAAAUACAGGCGUCAGCUUGCAUGGAGUCACUGUUGGGAUACCACUCUUGAGGUGCUGAAAUUCUAACCUGCGUCUUUGAAUCAAGACGGGGGACAUUGUUAGGUGGGCAGUUUGACUGGGGCGGUCGCCUCCAAAAGAGUAACGGAGGCGCUCAAAGGUUCGCUCAGCAUGGACGGAAACCAUGCCAAAGAGUGCAAACGCAAAAGCGAGCCUAACUGCGAGACUGACGGGUCGAGCAGUAACGAAAGUUGGAGUUAGUGAUCCGGCGGUAUGUGAGUGGAAAUGCCGUCGCUCAACGGAUAAAAGCUACCCUGGGGAUAACAGGCUGAUCUCCCCCAAGAGUCCACAUCGACGGGGAGGUUUGGCACCUUGAUGUCGGCUCAUCGCAUCCUGGGGCUGAAUUCGGUCCCAAGGGUUUGGCUGUUCGCCAAUUAAAGCGGUACGCGAGCUGGGUUCAGAACGUCGUGAGACAGUUCGGUCCCUAUCUGUCGUGGGCGUAGGAUAUUUGAAAGGAGCUGUCCCUAGUACGAGAGGACCGGGAUGGACGCACCUCUGGUGAACCAGUUGUCACGCCAGUGGCACGGCUGGGCAGCUAAGUGCGGAACGGAUAAACGCUGGAAGCAUCUAAGCGUGAAGCCGACCUUAAGAUAAGAUAUCCGUUCUUCGGAAUAAGACCCCUUGUAGACUACGAGGUUGAUAGGCUUAAAGUGUAAGCAUGGUGACAUGUUUAGCUUGCAAGUACUAAUCGGUCGAUUGCUUUUCCU